UACGGAGGGGGCUAGCGUUGUUCGGAAUUACUGGGCGUAAAGCGCACGUAGGCGGCUAUCCAAGUCAGAGGUGAAAGCCCGGGGCUCAACUCCGGAACUGCCUUUGAAACUGGCAAGCUUGAUCACGGGAGAGGCUAGUGGAAUUCCGAGUGUAGAGGUGAAAUUCGUAGAUAUUCGGAAGAACACCAGUGGCGAAGGCGACUGGCUGGACCGUAGAUGACGCUGAGGUGCGAAAGCGUGGGGAGCAAACAGG
rnacentral:rRNA from 1 species